AAACAUUGAUCGUUUACUACAUUAAACAUCCGCCUGGGUAUUACGAACACUAGUUUAAAACCCAAAGGACUUGGCGGUGCUUAACAUCCACCUAGAGGAGCCUGUUCUAGAACCGAUAAUCCCCGUUUAACCUCACCCCCCCUAGCUUUUUCCCGCCUAUAUACCACCGUCGCCAGCUUACCCUGUGAAGGUCUAAUAGUAAGCACAAUCGGCACAGCCCAAAACGUCAGGUCGAGGUGUAGUGCACGGGAGGGGAAGAAAUGGGCUACAUUCGCUACCCCUAGCGAACACGAAUGAUGCAUUGAAACAUGCAGCUGAAGGAGGAUUUAGCAGUAAGCGGAAAGCAGAGNNUUCC
rnacentral:rRNA from 1 species